UGUAAAUAAUAUCUCAUUCCUCAAUUUAAUUUGUUCUGGUUGGAGUUUUUACUUUUUAAAGAAUAUUUUACGUCUUUUUUUUAAAUUUAUUUUGUAGGUUAGGUUGGGUUGAAAUGGCUAGAGAGAGUGACUCCCCUUACACAUACGCCAAGAAAGGCCCAUUUUGGUACCAUAUGCAAUCUUUGCUCGCCUGUGAUGUUGCGACGCUUACUCGGGAUCAAACCAAUUCGUUAACGUGAUGAACUUCGACAUGUAUUUUGUAAUAAUAUCAAAAAUUGUUGGAUAGCAGUCUUGCCAGAGGAGUAUGUGAGAGAGAACCAACAGCUGAUACCUUUCUACGGAAAAAAUCAACUUCGCGCGGAUUUCUACGACUGUGCCUCCGUCCACCGAAAAAUUCCACGUUGUUGAGUUUUCAUUUACAUAGCCCUCUCAUAAGGUAGGCGGUGUCAGCUGUCAGCGUUCUCCGAUUUUACGUCCGAUGAAUACCUAUACGAAUAUGAAAACGAAUCACAAGACGAAUGCGGAUACAAAUGAGGAAUAUGAACCCGUAGACAAAUGCUAACACGUAUCCGAAUACAAAGAUAAGGGCUCGUAGAACACUUAAGAACACUUUUGCGUCACAAAAGUUUAAAAUUAAUAGAGCAAAUCUAGAAAAUUAAAAUUUUUAUUUUGCAGUAUCUGGCGUUUUGAUGGAAAAUUUUAUCUCAACAGCGGAUAGACUUCGAAAAAACUCGAUCUCAUCGGCGAAGAAUAUUACAAAAAUGUUGUUUCGAAAUUUUCUACGAUGGAAUUGCUGGCAGGAAAUUUAUAUUUGUAUGUAAAUAUAUAUGUACGAGCCGUUUAUUUUGAAAGUAGCAUAAGUCACUUUACACCUUUCGUGCUUAAACGACAGGUUACUUGUAUCUGAGCGCGUCGGUUAUUCGCUUCACCAACCAAAGGAAGAAGGUUUUGUCGUUCGUUUUUGACGAUUUACAAAUGCAUUCGGUUACAAGUAGACAGUCAUUUAAGCACAAGAGGUACGAAGUGAUUUAUGGUACUUUCAAAAUAGGGCGCUCAUAUAUAUGUAGGUUUCAUUUUUUACGAACUCCCUCAAGAAAUGUGAGGUAAGAAUAAAUAUAAGGAAAUUGUUAUUCGCAACAUUUUUGAUCCAAAACCUCAUACAGACUUGUAGUUAUGCCUUCUGUGAAUACAUAUGUGAUCCAAUUUGGCUCAUUCUAACAUGUCUGCAAAAUUUCUUUGGCUACUCUCCUAAGCACUAAAAUUGUGAAAAUAUGUAGGGUAUAGCAAAAGGGAGAGCAGCCACUUAUUAUGCUCACAUCGAUUGAAACGCUACUAAAUGCAUGAAAUUAUAAUUUCUAAUGUAAUCAAAGAGAGUGAUAAUGUCUAUUAUCCCUUCUCUGCAACCCGUCUAAGCUUUAGGCCGGCACAGCCACAGCGUAAAAGGGGGAAUCAUUUAUUAUCGGAAAAUAAUAGAAAGACUGCUUAGACAAGUGGUUGCCUGUAUAAAGGCAACAAUAAAUAAAAUCAACAACGACUGAUGUUUACCGAUGCUGACAGGUGUUAAAAAUGGCGCUAAACAUGGAUGCAUGGCUAAAAGAAAAACGGCGGAAAAGGAAGUAAACAAAGGCGUGCGACUACUGAUAAGACACACACACGCGAGUACAGACAACACAAUUGACAGUACAAUGGAAGCCACUUAAGUUGACCGGUACGUUGCCGAAUAAUAAAAUCAGCAACGAAUAAUCAGUAAAUAGCACCUAGGUGAAUCGUAGAGAAGAAAAUUAUUGACUACAUAACUACAUUCAUGUAGAAAACGGCGAAAGACGGGGUGAGAUGUGUAUGAAAGAAGUGCGAAAUUUAUUUAUGCUGGCCAUGAUAGAGUUAACGCAUUGCGAAUAAGCAUAAGGCAUUAAAACAGGCAUUUUCAUUUCAUUCGAUAAACGUCACAGAGAUGUUGAGUGGCUCGCGAGUUUAGUGGCAAGCAAAGAUACACUUUGGCCUGAUUGACUUGCAGGAUAAAUGAAUAAAUGUAGUGGGUAAAUAGGUUAACGUUUGAGUGCUGUCCGUUAAAAUUGCGCCAAAUUAAUUAGGACAAUCAAGUAAAUACCUAAAUAAAUUAGUAGUAAAAUA
rnacentral:lncRNA from 1 species